GACGAACGCUGGCGGCGUGCUUAACACAUGCAAGUCGUACGGUAAGGCCCUUUCGGGGGUACACGAGUGGCGAACGGGUGAGUAACACGUGAGUAACCUGCCCACAACUUUGGGAUAACGCUAGGAAACUGGUGCUAAUACUGGAUAUGUGCUCCUGCUGCAUGGUGGGGGUUGGAAAGCUCCGGCGGUUGUGGAUGGACUCGCGGCCUAUCAGCUUGUUGGUGGGGUAGUGGCCUACCAAGGCGGCGACGGGUAGCCGGCCUGAGAGGGUGACCGGCCACAUUGGGACUGAGAUACGGCCCAGGCUCCUACGGGAGGCAGCAGUGGGGAAUAUUGCACAAUGGGCGCAAGCCUGAUGCAGCAACGCCGCGUGCGGGAUGACGGCCUUCGGGUUGUAAACCGCUUUCAGCAGGGACGAAGCUUUUUGUGACGGUACCUGCAGAAGAAGCACCGGCUAACUACGUG
rnacentral:rRNA from 1 species